UACGAAGGGGGCUAGCGUUGCUCGGAAUCACUGGGCGUAAAGCGCACGUAGGCGGGUCUUUAAGUCAGGGGUGAAAUCCUGGAGCUCAACUCCAGAACUGCCUUUGAUACUGAGGAUCUCGAGUCCGGGAGAGGUGAGUGGAACUCCGAGUGUAGAGGUGAAAUUCGUAGAUAUUCGCAAGAACACCAGUGGCGAAGGCGGCUCACUGGCCCGGUACUGACGCUGAGGCACGAAAGCGUGGGGAGCAAACAGGG
rnacentral:rRNA from 1 species